CCUACGGGGGGCAGCAGGCGCGAAACCUCCGCAAUGCACGAAAGUGCGACGGGGGGACUCCAAGUGCCUAUGUAACUCAUAGGCUUUUAGUAAGUGUAAAUAGCUUAAAGAAUAAGGGCUGGGCAAGUUCGGUGCCAGCAGCCGCGGUAACACCGACGGCCCAAGUGGUGACCACUCUUAUUGGGUCUAAAGCGUCCGUAGCCGGUUUAGUAAGUCCCUGUUUAAAUCCUCUGGCUUAACCAGAGGACUGGCAGGGAUACUGCUAGACUUGGGACCGGGAGAGGACAAGGGUACUCCAAGGGUAGCGGUGGAAUGUGUUGAUCCUUGGAGGACCACCUAUGGCGAAGGCACUUGUCUGGAACGGGUCCGACGGUGAGGGACGAAAGCCAGGGGCGCGAACCGGAUUAGAUACCCCCGUAGUC
rnacentral:rRNA from 1 species